rnacentral:tRNA from 1 species
UGUGGCUCAGUUAGUAGAGUGCUUGCCUAGCAUACAUGAAGUCCUGGGUUCAAUCCCCAGCA